UUGUCCUUUCCAGAAACCUUUCAGUAAGUGGAGUGUCAAUGAUUUCAAUGCUGGCAGUGUCUGAUUAGCGUCACACAACGUAGCUCAGGCCCAGCGUGGAGCAGUUGUCACUGGCACAGGUGCCUUGGUUCGUGUUGUGGUUUCAGUAUGCAUGAACUAGAUUGUGUCAAAUGAAGCUAAACUGAAGGAAACACACAGGAAUAUAUUUAAUGAAUUACAGCUGCAGGCCCUUUUAUUCUAUUU
rnacentral:lncRNA from 1 species